GGGUUGAAGGUAGGGUGAGACUGUCAUUACUGUUUCUCCUCUCUGGGUUGAAGGUAGGGUGAGACUGUCAUUACUGUUUCUCCUCUCUGGGUUGAAGGUAGGGUGAGACUGUCAUUACUGUAUCUCUCUCUGGGUUGAAGGUAGGGUGAGACUGUCAUUACUGUUUCUCCUCUCUGGGUUGAAGGUAGGGUGAGACUGUCAUUACUGUUUCUCCUCUCUGGGUUGAAGGUAGGGUGAGACUGUCAUUACUGUUUCUCCUCUCUGGGUUGAAGGUAGGGUGAGACUGUCAUUACUGUUUCUCCUCUCUGGGUUGAAGGUAGGGUGAGACUGUCAUUACUGUAUCUCCUCUCUGGGUUGAAGGUAGGGUGAGACUCAUUACUGUUUCUCCUCUCUGGGUUGAAGGUAGGGUGAGACUGUCAUUACUGUCUCCUCUCUGGGUUGAAGGUAGGGUGAGACUGUCAUUACUGUCUCCUCUCUGGGUUGAAGGUAGGGCGAGACUGUCAUUACUGUUUCUCCUCUCUGGGUUGAAGGUAGGGUGAGACUGUCAUUACUGUUUCUCCUCUCUGGGUUGAAGGUAGGGUGAGACUGUCAUUACUGUUUCUCCUCUCUGGGUUGAAGGUAGGGUGAGACUGUCAUUACUGUUUCUCCUCUGGGUUGAAGGUAGGGUGAGACUGUCAUUACUGUUUCUCCUCUCUGGGUUGAAGGUAGGGUGAGACUGUCAUUACUGUUUCUCCUCUCUGGGUUGAAGGUAGAGUGAGACUGUCAUUACUGUAUCUCCUCUCUGGGUUGAAGGUAGGGUGAGACUGUCAUUACUGUUUCUCCUCUCUGGGUUGAAGGUAGGGUGAGACUGUCAUUACUGUUUCUCCUCUCUGGGUUGAAGGUAGGGUGAGACUGUCAUUACUGUUUCUCCUCUCUGGGUUGAAGGUAGGGUGAGACUGUCAUUACUGUUUCUUCUCUCUGGGUUGAAGGUAGGGUGAGACUAAGGAGUUGGGAGUUAUUUUUGCUGUUGUCUUCAGUACUGAAGUCAGUCAGUUCUAUUAGCAGUAUAGAAGUAGUGAGACCUGUAAACGUGUCUUUGAGGUAAGAUACAUGACCUAAAAACACUAUCGAUCAAUCGUACAUUUUCAUAAAAUGUAAAGUGUAUUAUAUCUAUUCAUUGGAUGGUUUCUGCUGAAGAUCUGACCAAUAGUGGCUGGUUGCUGUUUUUUAUGGUUCACUGGCACUCGUUUUAAUUUGUUGUCUCUGUGUGAUGUCUGGAAGGAGUUCCUCGGGUUCUGUUAGUCUCACAACACGGUUAACCUGUUACUGGCUAAUAAAAUAAUGUCAGAAAAACA